rnacentral:rRNA from 1 species
UUGACCUCAAAUCAGGNAGGAUUACCCGCUGAACUUAAGCAUAUCAAUAAGCGGAGGAAA